rnacentral:misc_RNA from 1 species
GAUGAAGAACGUAGCGAAAUGCGAUAAGUAGUGUGAAUUGCAGAAUUCAGUGAAUCAUCGAAUCUUUGAACGCACAUUGCGCCCCUUGGUAUCCCGAGGGGCAUGCCUGUUCGAGCGUCAUUUCACCACUCAAGCCUGGCUUGGUGUUGGGCGACGUCCCCUUUGGGGACGCGCCUCGAAACGCUCGGCGGCGUGGCACCGGCCUUAAGCGUAGCAGAAUCUUUCGCUUUGGAAGUCGGGGCCCCGUCUGCCGGAAGACCUACUCGCAAGGUUGACCUCGGAUCAGGCAGGGAUACCCGCUGAACUUAAGCAUAUCAAUAAGCGGAGGA